UUAGCAUGGAAUAAUGGAAUAGGACGUGCACGCCUACUGUGUUGGUCUCUAGGUGUGCCGUAAUGAUGAAUAGGGGCGGUUGGGGGCAUUUGUAUUCAAUUGCUAGAGGUGAAAUUCUUGGAUUUAUUGAAGACAAACUACUGCGAAAGCAUUUGCCAAGGACGCUUUCAUUGAUCAAGAACGAAGGUCGGGGGAUCGAAAACGAUUAGAUACCGUUGUAGUCUCGACAGUAAACUAUGUUGACUGGGGAUCAGUCGAGGUUUUAUUUUAUGACUCGAUUGGCACCCAAAGAGAAAUCUUAAGUGAAAUUCGCGGGGGAGUACGGUCACAAGGCUGAAACUUAAAGGAAUUGACGGAAGGGCACCACCAGGAGUGGAGCCUGCGGCUUAAUUUGACUCAACACGGGGAAACUCACCAGGUCCAGACACAAUGAGGAUUGACAGAUUGAUAGCUCUUUCUUGAUCUUGUGGUUGGUGGUGCAUGGCCGUUCUUAGUUGGUGGAGUGAUUUGUCUGGUUAAUUCCGAUAACGAACGAGACCUUAUCCUGCUAAAUAGCCCGGCCGGCUUUGGCUGGUCGCUGGCUUCUUAGAGGGACUUUUAGCGUUUAGCUAAAGGAAGUUUGAGGCAAUAACAGGUCUGUGAUGCCCUUAGAUGUUCUGGGCCGCACGCGCGCUACACUGACAGAGCCAGCGAGUUUUAUUCCUUGGCUGGAAAGCCUGGGUAAUCUUGUUAAACUCUGUCGUGAUGGGGAUAGAGCAUUGCAAU
rnacentral:rRNA from 1 species